rnacentral:rRNA from 1 species
GAUGAACGCUGGCGGCGUGCCUAAUACAUGCAAGUCGAGCGAACAGACGAGGAGCUUGCUCCUCUGACGUUAGCGGCGGACGGGUGAGUUACACGUGGAUAACCUACCUAUAAGACUGUGAUAACUUCGGGAAACCGGAGCUAAUACCGGAUAAUAUAUUGAACCGCAUGGUUCAAUAGUGAAAGACGGUUUUGCUGUCACUUAUAGAUGGAUCCGCUCCGCAUUAGCUAGUUGGUAAGGUAACGGCUUACCAAGGCAACGAUGCGUAGCCGACCUGAGAGGGUGAUCGGCCACACUGGAACUGAGACACGGUCCAGACUCCUACGGGAGGCAGCAGUAGGGAAUCUUCCGCAAUGGGCGAAAGCUUGACGGAGCAACGCCGCGUGAGUGAUGAAGGUCUUCGGAUCGUAAAGCUCUGUUAUUAGGGAAGAACAAAUGUGUAAGUAACUAUGCACGUCUUGACGGUACCUAAUCAGAAAGCCACGGCUAACUACGUG